ACCCUGAAACGGAAGAAACCACGUGCGUGUGACCAGGGUGGAACAAUUCUGAGUCGUUUCUUUUUGUAGGUUCUUAAAUUCCUGCAGGAACAUCGCACUUACUGCUUCACCCGUGCUUCUGAAGGCAGGCUGGAAAUGGAAGCUGUCUGCCUGUCUCAUGUACUCAUAAACACUUCCUCAAAGCAGUGUGGUUUCUUCCUCGGCACCUGUGCUCACUUUCUGGCUCUUAUUCCUCCACUCGCUCACUGUCCUCGGUUGUGUCACUUGCUUCAAGCAAUCCAGGUCCUACAUUUAGAUUCAUGGCUACGUAUCCAUCAGCUGUACCUAAGAACCACUAGACUGGCACAUUCCCCUGCACCUUAUAUGUGGAGGGCAGCUUCUGAGGAGGGGAUGCUGGGGACAGGAUAGCAGGUGUAGAGCCUCGCUAUACAUUUGCCAAGUAUGGUCUGCAGAACAGCAAUGGAGCCAUCACAUGGAGCGUGCUAAACAAGCAGGAUGCUGGACCCUACUCCAGAACUACUGAAUCAGAGCCUGCAUUUAACAAGAUCCCCGCAUGAACGGAAUGUCGAAUGGACAUUACAGUUUGAGAAGCUCUGGUGUAAAAUCUGAAUAUAUUUGGAGCCAGAUUUUAGAAUUCACGGAGGGGGUAUCGUUUCUGUAAGUGCAAGGCUACUUCUAGAAUAAGGAAAUAAAUACUAUUAAUCAAGUAUUUAUUUGUGGGAUGCAUUACUUGCUUUCUUUGAAAUAAGAGGAAUAAAUAAAUCCAAUUAUUUUACGGAUAGGGCCUUAAAGCAUCAUCAAUAAGUUUAAUAACCUUCCACAAUGAGACUUAAAUACAUACUCUUUUUCUUUGUAUUUUAAUGAAUCUUUUCAUAAGGCAUAGUUAAAUCGUAUUAGUAACAAAUAGGCAUGUUAUCGUAAUUUAAUAAUACUGAGAAAUAAUUCCUCCCAAAAGGGAAACAGGGCAUAAACAAGUGAAUUUUACAUGAAGUAAAAGGAAUCUAAGUGCUAGAACCCUCCAUUUCCACAUGCCCUUACAGGGACCAGCAACUAACAUGCUAUUCAAGUCUUUGUUCUUUUUCUUAAAGGCAGACUCAAAAACUAUAUAACUUUGAACCUCCAUAAAACCCGGAACCAUCCCUGGCCUAAUUAAUUAUGAAAACCAUUUUUAACUUUGGAAUAUACCACUUUUUAGUUUCUUUCAAUAUACUAGAAAAUACCUCAAAUUAUAUCACAAUCAUAUAGUCUACAAAUGAAAAUAACUAUUGAAGGAGGACCUGGAAAUAAUUCUGCUCAUAGGUAAGAGAAGUUCUUUGUAAUAAAAAGAUUCUUAUCUUUCAAAGUUAUCAUGUAACACCAUUAAACUAAACAAAUACAUGGUUUAUUCAUAUUUCUCUUCCGCUCUUCUUUUUCUCCCAAAUUAACUAAAAAACCUGAAUAUUGCUGGGGGAAGGGGAAUAACUAAAAGAAAUACACAAAAAUACUUUCUGGGCAUUUUUGUUUACUUCCGCUUUAUUAUUUUCUUCAAGUAUUACAAGGUCAUAUCUACUUGUGCUUCUUUGCGUGUUUUAGAAAAUACAAAAGGUAAAACAAAAAAGUUUUAAAAAAUACACAGAAAAAAUGAGAUAAAUUCUGCUAACACUUUAGUGUCUCAAACUAUUUAGAUAUAGAUAUUUUUAAUGUGAAUUUGAGUGUGUAUAUUUGUGUGUAUUUGUGUUUACGUGAGUUGAAGAGUUCUGAAAAUUGCUAUUUCAUCCACCAAACUCCUCAUAUAGUUUUCCAGAGAAAGAAAAACAGCCUUGCCUUUUAUAUUUGGCUACAAUGUAUUUCUUAGGUAUCAUUAUCAGUUAAAUGAUCUCUCAAUGUUGGGAACUUUGUUUCUGAUGUUUCAUUUUUAUAAAUAAAGCUAUUGUGGAAAUGGC